rnacentral:rRNA from 1 species
AUUGAACGCUGGCGGCAGGCCUAACACAUGCAAGUCGAGCUAGCGGCGGACGGGUGAGUAUUGUAUGGGGACUGCCCGAUAGAGGGGGAUAACUACUGGAAACGGCGGCUAAUACAGCAUACUGUCGGAUAACCCAUAUGGGAGUAGCUAGUAGGUAAGGUAAUGGCUUACCUAGGCGAAGAUCCCUAGCUGGUCUGAGAGGAUGAUCAGCCACACUGGGACUGGGACACGGCCCAGAGUCCUACGGAGGCAGCAGGGGGAAAUAGUGGACAAUGGGCGCAAGCCUGAUGCAGCCAUGCCGCGUGUAUGACGAAGGCCCUAGGGUUGUAAAGUACUUUCAGUCGGGAGGCGUUACCGACAGAAGAAGCACCGGCUAACUCCGUGCCAGCCGCCGCGGUAAUAC